CUCGAUCACUCCUACGGGAGGCAGCAGUGGGGAAUAUUGCACAAUGGGGGAAACCCUGAUGCAGCCAUGCCGCGUGUGUGAAGAAGGCCUUCGGGUUGUAAAGCACUUUCAGUAGGGAGGAAGGUAGUGUAGUUAACACCUGCAUUAUUUGACGUUACCUACAGAAGAAGCACCGGCUAACUCCGUGCCAGCAGCCGCGGUAAUACGGAGGGUGCGAGCGUUAAUCGGAAUUACUGGGCGUAAAGCGCAUGCAGGCGGCCUGUUAAGUCAGAUGUGAAAGCCCGGGGCUUAACCUCGGAAUUGCAUUUGAAACUGGCAGGCUAGAGUCUUGUAGAGGGGGUAGAAUUUCAGGUGUAGCGGUGAAAUGCGUAGAGAUCUGAAGGAAUACCAGUGGCGAAGGCGGCCCCCUGGACAAAGACUGACGCUCAGAUGCGAAAGCGUGGGGAGCAAACAGGAUUAGAUACCCUGGUAG
rnacentral:rRNA from 1 species